rnacentral:tRNA from 1 species
GGGGCUCUAGCUCAUCGUGGCAGAGCACGUCCCUGGCAGGGACGAGGUGCGGGGUUCAAGCCCCCGGAGCUCCA